CAGCACUCCAGAUGUUUUGGAUUACACCUCCCAUGAUGCAUUAUGGGUGUAAGAGCAUUAUGGGGGGUGUAGUCCAACAACAUCUGGAGUGCCG